AGGGUUUGGCCUGGUUAGUACUUGGAUGGGAGACCACCUGGGAAUACCAGGUGCUGUAAGCU
rnacentral:rRNA from 1 species